GACGAACGCUGGCGGCGUGCUUAACACAUGCAAGUCGAACGGAAAGGCCCUGCUUUUGUGGGGUGCUCGAGUGGCGAACGGGUGAGUAACACGUGAGUAACCUGCCCUUGACUUUGGGAUAACUUCAGGAAACUGGGGCUAAUACCGGAUAGGAGCUCCUGCUGCAUGGUGGGGGUUGGAAAGUUUCGGCGGUUGGGGAUGGAUUCGCGGCUUAUCAGCUUGUUGGUGGGGUAGUGGCUUACCAAGGCUUUGACGGGUAGCCGGCCUGAGAGGGUGACCGGCCACAUUGGGACUGAGAUACGGCCCAGACUCCUACGGGAGGCAGAAGGGGGGAAUAUUGCACAGUGGGCGGAAGCCUGAUGCAGCAACGCCGCGUGCGGAAUGACGGCCUUCGGGUUGUAAACCGCUUUCGCCUGUGACGAAGCGUGAGUGACGGUAAUGGGUAAAGAAGCACCGGCUAACUACGUG
rnacentral:rRNA from 1 species